GUUGUAUCUUUCUUCAACAGCCAGCGACUGUCCAGCUGACAAAGUCUACAAGCCCUGCGGUCCUGCAGAACAGCCAACCUGUGAUGACAAUCCAGACGAGUCUAGGAUGAACUUCACCACAGAAGGCUGCUUCUGUCCUGAUGGGAUGAAACUCUUCAACAAGGACUCAGGGAUCUGUGUUGAUAAGUGUGGAUGCAUUGACCCCGAAGGAGUUCCGCGAGAGUUCAACGAGAGGUUUGAGUACAAGUGCCAGGAUUGCGUUUGUUUGGAGUCCACCAAGACUGUGACCUGUAAACCCAAGGUCUGCUCCAAACCACCAGUAGAGAUAUGCACUGGACCAGGCUUUGUAUAUGUCAACCAAACCGAUCCAUCCGAUCCAUGCUGCUCCAACCUCGCCUGCCGUUGUGACAGCAGCACUUGCCCAACUACCGACAUGAACUGUCCUAUUGGGUUCAUACCAGUGGUUUCAGUCCCUGAGGGGAAAUGCUGUCCAGAGCACACAUGUGGUAU